rnacentral:rRNA from 1 species
UACGAAGGGGGCUAGCGUUGCUCGGAAUCACUGGGCGUAAAGCGCACGUAGGCGGCUUCUUAAGUCAGGGGUGAAAUCCUGGAGCUCAACUCCAGAACUGCCCUUGAUACUGAGAGGCUCGAGUCCGGGAGAGGUGAGUGGAACUCCGAGUGUAGAGGUGAAAUUCGUAGAUAUUCGGAAGAACACCAGUGGCGAAGGCGGCUCACUGGCCCGGUACUGACGCUGAGGUGCGAAAGCGUGGGGAGCGGUCCGG